ACCACUUCAGCAUUUACUUAGAACUCUCUGCUUCCCAUCAUACUCAGACUAAGCUGAACUGGAGUUAAGGUAGGGAUGAAUCUCAGACUUGCUGUGUUCGGAAUUAUCUUCCUCAUCCCAUGACACAGACUUUUUUACUGAGUCAACCUAAUCUUUCCUGGAUCAUUCCUCUCUCGGGACCAGUCCUCUUCCAGAAAAUUUCUCAGUCUUUAUGCAGACAAGAUUCUGGGGGCUGACACUGCUUUUUUUGCCAGAUGUCCCUAGACACAUCUGAAUCUCUUUUAGUCUCAAGCUGGAGCCUUUUUCACCAUUGCACAAAAAGCUGGGUAUAGUUCAAAUUCCUGACUGUAUAUUCUGAUUCCCCUGGGCAUUUACACUCUGCCAUCCCACACAGUUCCCCCUCCUGUGUGAGGGUCCUAUUGCAAUUCAUUAGCGUGCUUUUUUUUUUUUUUUUUUUUUUUUUUUUGCUUUUUGUUUUGGAGACGGAGUCUUGCUCUGUCCCUCAGGCUGGAGUGCAGCGGCGCCAUCUCAGCUGAAUGCAACCUCUGCCUCCUGGGUUCAAGAGAUUCUCCUGCCUCAGCCUCCCAAGUAGCUGGGAUUACAGGUGCGUGCCACCACGCCUGGCUAAUUUUUUGUAUUUUUAGUAGAGACAGGGUUUCACCGUGUUAGCCAGGAUGACCUUGAUCUUCUGACCUCGUGAUCCUCCCACCUCAGCCUCCCAAAGUGCUGGGAUUACAGGCGUGAGCCACAGCGCCCGGCCUUCAGCGUGCUUUUUUUUUUAAUGGUUUGCUAUAUUUACAUCUGGUUUCUCCUUCUGAAUGGGAGUUAAUUGAAGAUACAAUACAGUCAAGCAACAGGAGGAAAGAAACAACAAAUGGGAGACAUGAGGUUCCGAGGAUCAUGGUUCCAACACAGGACAGCAGAAAAGAGGAGUUGCAAAAUGACUGCUACAAAACAGACUUAAAGAGAAAACAUUCCAGUUUCACGUAGGAGGACAAAAGAAAAAACAAAACAACAUGAACAUCCAUUCUCUGCUUCUUUUCAGAGAAGGAUGGAGCAAAUGCCCCAGAUGAAGCCUACACGACAUGAGUCAGAGAACUUUGGCCAGGAUGUCUGGGGAAAAAGUUUCCUCUUUCUUCUCUGGGAACUAUCUGGAGAGGGUUGUUUUAACGCUGGAUGUGAACAGCGACUCGUGUAGCCCCAGAAGCCUCUGACAGCCGCGUUGGAAUCAUAAGUUCUCAAAAUGAAGUAUUUUCCAGAGAGAAGUACUGAGAAGCUUAAAGUAUUUGAAUGGGAGGAGGAGAAGCAAACUACAGCUACUUCAGAGGAUAACACUAAACACCUAGUCCACUCUGUAUACACUAGAGGUGCUGUUAAUUUUCUUGUGGAGAAGGAACUGUCUUUAGAAAAAUAUCUCAAAAAGCCACUGAAGUAGAAAGUUUCAGCAUGCUGAAGAUGGAACUUGAGAAGAUAGAAAGUUCUGGGUCCUUAGUGGCAUGACUGAGUCGCUGGACCACUGUUGGAACCACCCUAUGUCUUAGUUUUUAAAUCUCUUUACUGUCUAAGACAUUUUUAGUGGAAGUAUUUAUCUCUGGCAUCCAAUAAGACCUUUAAGGAUUUGCAGUUUUAUCUAUGUGUUUGUUUAUUGUCUGCUCCACCCUACUUGAUUGUGAUCACCAUGACAUCAAUGACUGUGCAUCUUUUGUUCACUCAGGAAUAUCCAGUGCCUGCCACGCAGAGUGUGCUGCAUGUACAUGCUCACUUGAUAUCUGUUGUAGCAAAGAGUGAAAGAGAGAAGGAAUAAAUGCUUUCUCCCAUGAUGAGGGGACAUGGGGUCCAGACAAGCUGGACCAUUAUCCCAGGCCCAGCGCUCUGCUUUAUUUUUUUUUUUCCAGUACAGCAUCACAUUCAGUUACAACAGAGUGAAAUCUCCUAAGAACACGGCUGAUUAUUUCUUGAUUGCAAAAAGGACUCACUAACCCUCCGAUCUCCUGUAACGCAAGUCAAUGCUCUUCUAAUCUCCUUUUAGACAGCACCUGUACUUGUCAGUCAACGCAUGGUAGUCUGGGCUAGCCAAGUGAAUCCUUAACUAAACUGAAGUGGUGCUGAUCAUUCAGCCUUCAGAAUUGAAAAAAUCACAGCAUUGCUGAAGGAAAAGGCAUUUUUCAGGUAGAGAGGCAUAAGUCUUGGGCCAGGAAGCUUCAGUAAGAAGACAAUAAUUUCAUAGAAAUGCAUUAGCUUGGGGAGUCCAACUGCUGUUCUUGCACCUAAGAAAUUCAGAGGAGAGCUCUUUGCUUCCUUGCUCAUUCCAGUGGUUAGGAGUCAGGCCUUGUCCCAGAAUGUUCAGGUUGAUGCUUACCAUUUAAGCCUUAAGUUAAUCCGUUGAAGCUCCAGGCCUUUUAUGGGAUUCACAAGAAUAAACAGCAUUUAACUAUAGAUUCUCAAAGGUCAAAUCUUCAACCUAAAUCUGAGGAUUCAAAGCAUUGUUCACUCUAAUAAUUCUGCUAGUUCCCAACUUCACACAAACCAUUUAUUUCAGAAUGUAAACCUUGAAUAAUCUUUUCUUACUUGUAGUUUUGUGGUCAUUUAGAAAACAGCAAUACUCUAUUUUAAUUGGAACUAAGUGACAAAAAUAAGCCACUUCAUUAGUUUUCUAGAUAACGGUAAAAUGUAAGAACAAAAAGCCACUUCUUUUUCCACGUGGUAUUUUACAGUGACUUUUUUUUUUCUUUUUACUGCAUUUUAAAAUUCUACUGGAGGCAUUUCUCGGAAACUUUCUCUUACUUGUUAAUGAAUCAUCCCCUUUGAGAAUCAGCAGGUGAUUUCAGGAGCCCAGGUGUGAAUAAUUGAUUUAAGGUCGACCUUGUGGGUGGAGCCAAUGUUUACCAAGUGCAUUCAUUCGACAAACAAUUGAUGAACACCAAAUUAGAGUUCAAUUCCAGAUAACAAAAACCAGUUGAACUAAUUUCAUCAGAAAGCUACUUAAUAGGGGUAAUUAGGUGCUUACAAAAUAGAAGGGCUGGAAGCCCAGGAUCUAGGCUGACACCCAUGUAGCUAGACCCUGGAAACUGGGAUUCCAGCUGCACAGAACAGCCAAGUGUGUUCAUGACUGUGCUUGUUUGUCAGCAGGAGCAUGGCCCUGCCUUGUGAUACUGUGUUUUUCAGCUCUCACGUGGCUGAGUCUGUUUGGAGAAGUUGGUUCAAGAUGCAGCUUGACUCUCAGGGAGUCUGAAUAACUACCCUUAAUAUUGUUAGCUUUCUGGUCUCCAGCACACAGUAUGAUUUUCUGGAAGAAGGAUUUAAUGUAGUUAAAUAUGCCAACGUGUAAUAUCUGAUGUACAUUUCUACCCUGCUUGGGAUACAAAAUAAAUAAAAGCCAGUUUCUGUCUGUAAGGAGUGUACAGUUUAGUAAGAAGACAGACUCCUGAACAAAGAUGUAUACUUCAAUGUUGCCAGCCCAGGAUUAGAGAUGGGUAUUAAGAGGACCUCUGAUGAGUGAUAUUUUGCAUCUGGUGCAGGACAGUUCCCUAGGUGGCCUUGGACCAAACCAGUCCUCCCGCUUUCUCACUUGUAGUUUUAAGAAUAACUAGAAUGUGCUGGGAAUGCAACAUCCCGAGAUAAGGCCUAGGCUCUGUUCCAGUCCCCGCUAGAAACAGGAUGUCCUUCAGCACAUUAAUCCAGCAGGUCAUGUUAUCCCUGGAGUAGAAAACCCAGAGACGGCUACUUUCCAGGGUCCUGCAUCUGGGGUGCAAGUGAGGCACACGCAGAUGAGACUCCACCUGCCCUGGGCAGCUUUCCUGAGCCUUGAGAAACCAGCUCACCAUGAAUCCAAGGUGUCUGCUGUUCCUUGCCACCAUUUCAUGGAACCUGUUGUAUGUACCUAUUCAUGUUUUCCAUGUUUCAAAUAUGACUGAACCUGACAUAUAUAAGAACGCAAAAGAUUCUUCAAAAUCAAACUGUGUCCGGAAUUGGUGGGUUCUUGGUCUCACUGACUUCAAGAAUGAAGCCACGGACCCUGGCGGUGAGUGUUACAGCUCUUAAGGUGGCGUUUCUGGAGUCUGUCCCUUCUGAUGUUCAGAUGUGUUCGGAGUUUCUUCCUUCUGGUGGGUUCGUGGUCUCGCUGGCUCAGGAGUGAAGCUGCAGAUCUUCACGGUUGCUAGUAACACAAUAAUAAAGCUGCUUUAUUUUCCAGUGAAGAUGUAUGUGAUAGGGAGUGGAGGAAGAAAAAGGCCAGAAAAUUCCAUAGUUAGCAAAUAUACCUUUCUUACUUAAAAUUCUUUUUCCAAUGUGAGCCUUCUAAAGAGUUACUGAGAAAUUAGGUGAGCUCACCUCAUUUAAUGCAAUAGAUAUGUUUCUGAAAAAUAAGCAAUACAUAGGACAUUGGCCAAUUAAGAAUUCUGAUGAAGAAGAAUUUUCACAUCCGAAAGAGUAAAAAUGAAAAACGGUACAAAUGUAGUGGCUUUUAAAUUUCAAAACAAAUUAUUUUGAUAAGAUAAAUAUUCCUCUCAUAAAGUGAAAAUGGAAGAGACUGCUUGCUGGGUGUUCGUCAAAAUGGAGUUAGAUGGUCUGUCCCAGACUCCCCUGUUGUUAGUUCUGAGAACAGAAGUAAUGGUGCUUCUUCAGGACUGGCUCAUAGAAACCUGCCGUGUUCAGCCCCCACAAUCCUCUCCCUUCUGCUGGCUGGAAACAAAUGACAACGAAGCCUCACGUCUUGGAGAAACCACACUGCUGAGGAACUCAAGUCCUAGAAGAACCAUUUGAAGAGACCCAUCUCACUAAAGAAAAUCACACAAGCAAGAAGUAAACUUCAUUGUAUCUAUGUAUUUAAUUGUCAUAACAGUCUACCUUAACUGAUACAGCAAAAAUUCGCUCCUUUUCUGGACACCCAGUUUCAAAAUCUCAGUGUCAUUUUUUACUUCUCUCUUUUCAGGUUGUUUAAUAUAAUAAAAUUUGUGUGUGUGUGUGUGUGUGUGUGACAAGGUCUUGCUCUGUUGCCCAGGCUGGAGUGCAAUGGCACGCUCCCAGCCCACUACAGCCUUGACCUCCAAGCUCAAGUGUUCCUCCCACCUCAGCCUCCAGAGUAACUGGGACUACAGGCAUGGGCCACCACACCCGGCUAAUUUUUGUACUUUUUGUAGAGACAGGGUUUCACCAUGUUGCCCAGGCUGGUCUUGAACCCCUGGGCUCAAGCGAUCUGCCCAUCUCCACCUCCCAAAAUUCUAGGAUUACAGGCGUGAGCCACUACACCCAACCAUUUUAUUUUUAAAAGUUUUCUUUGCAAUAUUGCUCACAUUGUUUCCUUCCUUUUUAUUCUUAUUGUCACUCCCAAGUUCAGGCUUUUACCUCUUUUAUUUGAAGUAUUAAAGUAUACUUCUAAGUCAUUUCUGUGGCUUAAAUUUAUUUAAUCCACUCCAUCCUGCAUCCUACCAACACAAUAACAUUGUUUCAUCAUUUCAAAUUGAAAUCGAAACUCUCCAAAGCUUUCCUACUGCUGAAUGGAUAAAAACACAAAAUCCUCAAUAGAGAAUUCACUUUCUGGAGCCAACUUACCUUUCCAAAUAUUUCCCAUUAUUCCCUAAGAGAAUCCUCCUGACAUACUCACUGUUUUUCAUAUACACUAGACCUUUUCUCAACCACCUAUUUGUCCACACAUUUUUCUUCCAGCUAGAAUAUUAUUUUCCCUUUCUCACUUCUGAAAGUCUUACCUGUCAUUCAUGGUUCAUCUCAAGCUCAAUCUUCUCCUUGAAACCUUUAAGCAUACCCUCCUGGAAAGUUAUCUCCCUCACCUCGAACCACCCCCCCAGCCCCUGCCAGAAUCUCCUAUAGGGCUGAUUGUUUAUCCUGCUUAUUAUAUAUUUAUAAAACACUCCACUGAGUUAUUAAUUACCUUUUCCUUGACUGUGAAAACAUGACUCUGGCUUCAAGGUAGGACCAUUUUUUCUCUAACACUGUGUCUCAUACACUUCAGCACAAGCUCUUAGUGGCCUGUGCAUUCAACUCCCAUGCAUAGCCACUUCCUCCAGGCAAACCCCACAGCCAGCAUCCAAAUUUUAAAAGGGGUUCUGUCAUCAACCCAAAGUUUCUUCUCUCUCAAGGAACCUAGAUUUAGAAGUUGAGUCUAGGCCACCUGUCUAAGAUACAGUAGUUAAUUUAACAUAUUUUAUUGCUCUCAACAUCACAGAGAAAGAGCCUUACUGCAGAUCUCAUUCUUUCCUUCAAAGCCAGUUUGCCCAUUCCUCUUCAGAAACCUUUAAGAGUGGUUAUUGGGAGAGAUGAUAAGACUCCAUCUGCUUAAGGAGUCCCUCUAACCCAGAAUAGUAGAUGUAAACACCUGACAUGUUGUUAUAGAGUGAAUGUUUGUGUUCCCCUCCAAUCCAUAUGUUGAAAUUCCAAGCCCCAAUGUGUUCGCAUUGGGAGGUGAGGCCUUUGGGAGGUAAAUAGAUCAUGAAGGUGAAGUCUUCAUGAAUGGAUUAGUGUCCUUAUAAAAGAGACCCCAGAGAGCUCUCUCAUCCUGUUUCUGCCAUGUGAGGACACAGCAAGAAGUUGGUCAUCUGCAACCUGAAGUGGCUCCUCCCCAGAAACUGAAUCUGCUGGGGUCUUAAUGGUGGGCUUCCCAGCCUCCAGAAUUAUGAGUGUAAAUGUUUGUUGUUUAAGCUACCCAGUCUAGGGUAGUUUGCUAUACUACCCCAAACUGACUAAGAUACAUAUGUUUGUCAUCCACUCAGUUGUUUUCCUAAAAUAAAUGAAGUCAGCUCCAAAGAUGAAUUUUCAUCUCUUUUUGUAGAGAUGGGUGCUAUUAUGCUUUUUAAUGAACGUUUAUUCACAAAUAAAAACAAAACAUACCUCUCACAUCCUCAGAGCAAAUACUUACAGUAACAUACAUUGAUGCUCACAAGCUCAUUACAUUUCAUGUUUACUAUUCAUUGAUAACAUUACAUUUAUUAUUAUCACAUAAACCAUACCUCCUGUUUAUGAAGCACUUAUGGUGUUUUAGUCAAUGUUAUGGUACCUGCUAUAUAUGGUCUCUAAUUUUAUUUUAACUUCCUAUAGUAAACAAUAUUAGGUGCUAACUCAAUAGUCAUUUUCUAACCUGAUUUUUCCUUGCAAACAGAACCCCAAAUUUGUUUGGAGAGAAAUGUGUCCAAAUCCAAACAAAGCAUCACCAUUUCUUUGAACCAUCAUAAGGAUCUAAUCAUUUUUUUUGUUUUCCUAGCCUCCCUCUAGCCAGAGAUACUGGGUAACACAGUUCUGGCUGAGAAGACAAGAGAAGAAAUCUGCUAAGCAUUUCUGGAAAAAGUUUUGAUUUGCUGAUGAAAGGGAACAGACAUACUGGUUGCCUUCCUUUUCCCUUUCAGCUGCCUAGUCGCCAUUUUGCAAUGUGAAACAACAUCAUUAAGGAAAGAUCAAAACAAUUGCAGAGAUGUCAACCAUCAUGCCUUUGAAUUCAUGCUCACAGUUGUCUGCCUCCAGAUUCAGUUAUAUUUGAGGUACUCUUUGAGUUAAGAUCCUUCUCAUUUUAUACCACUUGCAGCUGAACACACUCCCCACUAAUUUACCUUGUAAGGUGAAUUUCACUUAAAGGAAGAACACAUAAGUCAGGGAAUGACACAUAAUAGUAAAUGCAGGGUUUUUUUUUCUAUUUAUGAUAUAGAUUUAUACAACUGCUAUGUUCUUGACAUUGUACCAAUUUCAAGGUACAAAUAAGACAUAAUCCCUAAAAGCAUGGGUUACAAAAUCUGGGUUCAGCAUAGGGUUUCAUGAUAAACAAACAAACACAAAUUGUUUUUUAUUGUAUUUCCUUCUUCUUCACAUCUUGUGAAUCUAAGAAAAAUAUCAGAAUGUUCGUUUCAGCUCAAUUUUUGAAGAGUACAAUCUCUAAGUAAAAAGAAACUGUAAAUGUUUAUAAAUGUAACUAGAGCCUAGUAGAAAAUAAAGCCAUGCAAGUGUGUUUAGGUCCUAAUCUUAUUAACCAGAUUAGUGACACACAGUCUGCCCAAAGUUAAUGAAAGCAGUGAGGUUCUUUGACUUCAGUAGAUACACACCUGAACCACAGAGAUAAACUUGCUUCAAACCUGUGCGAUAUGUUUUUCUAAGCAUAAAAUUGAGCAUGAUAGCUCCAAUUUCAGUCUCAGUUUCAAAGCUUCCCUUUCCCGAAUAAGAGGCAAACUGUCACAUUAAAUUUAGCGAAUUAAAAUCAGUUAACUUGAAAAGCUCUUGGCCCCAAUGCAGAGAAAAUUGUUUGCAUAAUAAUAACUUAUUUCCUUUUUUAAAAGGCGGACUUCUGCCUGAAUGCUUCUAUAAACUUUUAAGAAAAUGGGAUUCUCAAAUCUCAAGCGUAUUGGGUUGCAGUUGGCACUUGAAGCUGGGGACAUGCAGAGCUGGCUAAUGUCAGCAGCUGUAGGACUGUCAAGAAAAAUAGGUGGAAGGGACACUUUUAUUAUAAGUAGACUUGCAAGGCAUUCCAACUUUCAGCUGCUCAACCCAGUAUACCAAACACCUCUGACUACCUCAAGUGUGGCCUUGCUGAGUGCUUCCAUAUUUAGGGGUUAUUAGACAGGACUGAAGCAAGUGACCUCUAAUGAGGAAGCAAUCAGGGCAGGCUCUGACCCUCCUCAGAGGUACUGUAAUGAACUGGCCUUGGAAGGUCUUUGAUGCUGCCUUUGCAUACUGUAUAUGAGCUUUCUGCUCAGUCAUUUCCUCUGCGCUCUGGUAGCACAGCAUGAAGCCUGCUAUUAGAAAAAAGGUUUAUUGCUACCUUGCAAACAUUUAUUGGGUAAUAUCUAAAACAUGGUGUCAAGUUAUAGUAAUGCGCUGUUCUGGGAAACUUUUUGAGAAUUUUAGUGUUUCAGAAGAUGGUCCUUUGAGAAUUCUUCUGUUUCAGAAAUGAAAAGUGGUAGAUAUAUACGUGUGUGUGUAUAAUAUGCUCAUGUAUCCUCUGAUUACUUGCCAGAGAUGUACCAUUUUUCUUUCAAGGGAAACAUCUAUUCCUAAGAUAGAUUAUUCUUGAAAUUUUCAAAGAGUAUGCCUCAGAGAACAAAUAUACAAAUUUACCAUUUGUCUGCAGAUAUUAUUUGCCUGUGUUUAUGCUAGGUCACUGACACCACACACAUUUUAAUCCCCAAGGGAAUUUAUUUGGUGGUGUUAUCUACUCAACCAAGCUGAAGCUUAUCUAGUUCACAAGAAAAUAGUCAAUAUGAGCUCCAUGCAGACUUAUGCUGUUAAUGCAGAAGAGGGAAAGAGAAUUUACCUUUAACUGUUAUGAUGAAAAUGUGUACAAUGACACUUAACUAUGGCAUGCAAAUCCUCUUUUCCUCCCCCACAGGUAUCUGGAAAGUACCUUAUACAGCUAGGUGCUUAGAAAAUGUUUAUUGAUUAAAUAGAUGAUGAUUAACAGAUUAAUAAAAGGUGAAAGUUACUAUCUAUGCAUUUUUUUCCAGUUUGAUGUUCAAAAACUUACCAAUGGAUGGGGAGUUGCUUUUCAUAAACAAUUUAUAAAGCACUGUCCUGGAUGAAAUUGUAAAAAGGACGUGGUGUCAAAGAUGACUCAGUGGAGUUGAGGUGAAAAAUGUGUAAUGAGCAAAUCAUGGUAAUUGGGAUAUCCAUCACCUCAAACCCUUAUCAUGUCUUUGUGUUGAGGACAUUUCAAAUCUUCCCUUCCAGCUAUUUUGAAAUAUACAACAAAUUAUUGUUAAGUGUAGCCACCCUAGUGUGCUACUGUACACUAGGACUUACUUAUUCCUUCUAUCUAACUGUAUUUUUGAACCCAUGAACCAACAUCUCUUUGAUUUCCAGCCUGGGCUUUGGUGUCCCUUUUUUUGUGUGUUUUCAUAGGGCCCUAUAUUUAUAUUAUUUGGGCUCAACACAUUGCAAAACUGCAGAGGAGUUUACUAUUAUGCACAUUAUUAUUCUAUAUUCUGUCACUCUAAGAAACAAUAAGUGACCAUCUGAAGAGACCAUCUUCUAGCACCAAAAUAUUUAAAGAUGAUUAAGAAUAAGACAAGGGUCUCCUUAUUUACAAAAUGACAUAAUUGAAAGGACUAGAUUAUUAGCAACCCCUCUGGAAAAGGAUUACUCUUUUGGAUUUUAAUUACAUAACUAAUAUAUCAACUGAAGUGCUAUGCCCUGACGUGUGCUCCCCUCAGCUUCACGAUCCAUAUGUUGAAACCCAACCCCUUAAUGUGAUGGCAUUUGGAGAUGGGGCUUUGGAGAUAUUAGUUAGGUUUAGAUAAGGUCAUGAGAAUGGGGCUCUUAUGAUGAGAUGAGCACCUUCAUAAAAAGAGACACGAGGUAUUUCUCUUUUCUCUCUUCUCUCUCUCCCUCUUUCCCUCCCUCCCUCUCUCCUCCUUCUCUGUCUUCCUCCUUUAUGUGAGGACAUAGCCAGAAGGCAGCUGUGUCUGCAAGCCAGGAAGAAAGCCCUCACCAGGAAUCAACUAUAUCAGCACCUUGAUCUUGAACUUCUAUCCUUAGAACAGAGAGAAAAUGAAUUUCUAUUCUUGAAGCCACCCAGCCUACGGUAUUUUGUUAUGGCAGUCAAGCUGAAUAAGAUAUAUAUCUACACUGAGACCAUUAAAAGUAGUUCCUGAUUGGCAGAAAGGUUGUAUAUAUAAAUGGCUCAUUGAAAGUUCUCACUGCAUGGAUGAGAAAUCUCAGAUUGAGGUUCUUAAAUUUUGAAAAAUAGAAAUAAAGGAAUUAACGCAACAGUCUUCUAAUCUUUCUGCCUUCAGUUUUUGCUCCCUUUGACUAUUCUCUGUACACUGCAUCCAGAGGUUAUAUUUUGACAGGGAAAUUCAAAUGAUGUAUAUUAUUUUUCUACUCAAAAUCUCCCCACUGGCACCCUAUUGUCCUAAAGCAUAAACUGCUAUUGCAGUCAAUUCACCUGAAAUAAGCUCUCUUCCUGCCGCGUCUUUUACAUAGAUUGUUUACUCCUCUUGUGAUCCCAGUUCCCUGCUUCUCCCUCUCCUCCACACUUUUCAAUAAUUAAAUUAUACUCAGCGUUCAGAAUUCAGUCAGGAUAUCCUACCUUCUUUGGUCAGCCCCCCAGGGUUUUCUGAAAGCUGGGAAGAGGCCCUCUUCUGCAAUCCCCAUGCACUGUAGACACAUCCCCUUUAGGUCCCUAUGUUGUGAGUGACUGUUUUCUUGUCUGUCUCUGCCACUAUAUUAUGCACUCUUAGAAGGCAAGGACUACUUCUCUUCAUUGUAUACCUAGAACUUAACCCAAAAACUGGCAUGUGCAUGCACCCAAGUUUUCACUGAGAAAAUAAUUGCAUGAGUCACUUGCUUUCCAGGUCUUUCUGACUACUAUGAUGGUGAUGACUUGUAGUCACAACAUGAAAUUGGUUUCUGCCCCUGAGGAUUGUAUCUCUCUACUUUGCAUGACCCCUAGAUUUCAAUCCCUCUUUAUUCUCUCCUGAUCCUUGGGUUCCAGUAAUUCUCUGGGUUUCAAAUAUAAGCACAGUGUGAGGAGCUCUUCAUUCUUGACAGAACUUUCAGGCAAGAAAGAAAUAGAUUCCUGGGAAUAUCUAUAUUCCCUCUGGCCCUAUUCCUUACUCCCAAAACAUAAUAACCCUUUUCUUAGGUUUUUUCUCUCUACCUUUUUACUUCUUCCUUAUUCUCACGAUUACAUGAAUUAACUGCCUACAGAGUAUGAAUUCAGACUGAAUUAAUAUGUAUUUAUGUGACAUAAAAGAUCUCUUUCAGUACUUCUUAAUCUUACCAAAUGAUGCAUACUAUACAAUAAAAAAUUGCAAUUUUUUCAUUAGCUUUUUUUUUUUUUUUUGGUUUCUGGUAGGGUUUUCCUUUAGUGGUAUUUUAGCAAGUAAUACAAUCCAGUUAUUUUUAAAAGUAUAUUAGUAGAAACUCACCAGAAGUCAAUAUACUGGUCCAAGAAUAAUUAACUGAUUGACUUUAUUGUUUAUGAAACUUUGUAAUGUUCCUUUUGAUGUGAAUGCUUAUCUUAGGGGGAAAUGCACUUUUCAAAUAUAAAUGAUCAUGUUUAAACAAACUGCUUCUAGUUUCAAAUAUGGCACUGAAAAACAAAAUAAAAUAAACACUCAAUUUUUAUUUAAAAUGGUGGGCAAUUUACUUUCUUUUUUGUUUGGGAUCUGAUUCAAGAGCCUCAAUUCAGCUUAUUGCAGAACUAACUAAACUAAACCUCAAAGGAAAAAUUUUAAAAAUGAUUUUUAUAGCAAUGACAUCAUUAUAUAAAAUGUUGGCAUUUCAUAUUUUCCAAACAGAAACUUGGAAAUAACAGAAUACAAGUUAAAUAAAACAAAUUGAAACUAAUCCAAUUCUCUGUUUUUCUUUCCCUUUUUAAAAACCAAGCUUUUUAUUGCCAGCUUUUACUUUGCAUAAUAAUAUAUGAUGAAUUGUCCAAGAAAGACCCAGUGGGUACAUUUCUCUUAGAAAUAAGCCUCUCUAUGCAAUAGGAGGCCAAGUUCUAGGGCAACAUACUUAUAUAAUCAUGUAAGAUUUUCCUUAUUGCUAACAAUUGACCAACCUGGGCAUUUGUCAAAUAUGUAAACACAUGGAGGUCACUGGUCACCAGAGGAUUGAAAACACAAAUCACUCUAUUCAUAUCCAUCCCUAGUUCUAGAAAAACAAUACCAAAUUAAAGCAUAUAUCCUACUAGCAAUAGGACUAGCAAAAUUAUUUUGGUAUACCAGAGCUACAUGUUAUACAUUUUGCUACUUAUGGAUUUAAUUACUCAGGAUAAUUAUACACAUGGCUACAACUGUAAACUUUAUAAUAUUUUGCUGGCAUACCUUCCAAAAGAGUUUGAAAAGCUAUGAAUUUAAUUCUAUAUUUGCAUUUGACAUAUAAAGUAC
rnacentral:lncRNA from 10 species